UAGUUCAGUCGGUUAGAAUACCUGCCUGUCACGCAGGGGGUCGCGGGUUCGAGUCCCGU
rnacentral:tRNA from 3 species